rnacentral:rRNA from 1 species
UCUGUAUGGUGGACAGCUAGGUUUUCGUUUCGAAGAAGAGCGCUGCAAAAUGCGAAAAUGACCGUUUACCGCAUCUAGACGGCACGCUCUCGAAUGGUGGCAUACCCCGUGUUUUUACAAAUACGGAUACAGUUUUGAGAUCCAGUUUG